GAUGAACGCUAGCGGCAGGCCUAAUACAUGCAAGUCGAACGGUGUCUUCGGACAUAGUGGCGCACGGGUGCGUAACACGUAUGCAACCUACCUUACAUUGGGGGAUAGCCUUUCGAAAGGGAGAUUAAUACCGCAUAAGACAGUAGCUGGGCAUCCAGCAGCUGUUAAAGAUUUAUCGAUGUAAGAUGGGCAUGCGUCCAAUUAGUUAGUUGGCGAGGUAAUGGCUCACCAAGACUUUGAUUGGUAGGGGAACUGAGAGGUCAAUCCCCCACACUGGCACUGAGAUACGGGCCAGACUCCUACGGGAGGCAGCAGUAGGGAAUAUUGGGCAAUGGACGCAAGUCUGACCCAGCCAUGCCGCGUGCAGGAUGAAGGCGUUAUGCGUUGUAAACUGCUUUUAUACAGGAAGAAACGACUCUUGCGAGAGGCAUUGACGGUACUGUAUGAAUAAGCACCGGCUAACUCCGUG
rnacentral:rRNA from 1 species